CAGUGUGACAACCAUGAGAAUGGACUGAAGAUCUCUGAAUCAAGGCUAUGCUGUUGUGGACCUUCCUCUACUCUGCAGAAGACAGCAUUCUACCCAAGAGACAUAGGACAAAAGGAUAACACCAGGAAGUAGCCACGUUAAGUGCAGGGUUGGUACAAAUUCAGAGGAAAUGAAGCUCACUGUUGAAGGUGAACUAGGAAUUCCUGCCCUUGUACACUCUCACUGGGCUCUUGGCACUCAUGUUUCUGGUGUGGAUCCUUCUCCUUCUUCCUGUCAUCGCUGCCCUGCUUUCUCUGCGCCUCUGCCUAAACUGUGUCCUGAACUUGGCAGCCGUUACAGAGUGGUGACCAGGAGGCAGCAAGACUCUCUGGCCCAUGUCCUUGUUUUGAAGGAACAGCUCUAACUUGUAUUUCUGAAUUACAGUUUUAAACUUUGAAAACACCUCGCAGAAACUACUUGUUUCUGUUUCUGUUUUGA
rnacentral:lncRNA from 1 species